rnacentral:piRNA from 1 species
UAAGAUGUGAUCCGAGUCCCACAAAGGAGC